GACGUAGGGCGCGAGCGUUGUCCGGAUUUAUUGGGCGUAAAGAGCUCGUAGGCGGCUUGUCGCGUCGUCCGUGAAAACCUGCGGCUCAACUGCAGGCUGGCGGUCGAUGCGGGCAGGCUGGAGUUCGGUAGGGGAGACUGGAAUUCCUGGUGUAGCGGUGAAAUGCGCAGAUAUCAGGAGGAACACCGGUGGCGAAGGCGGGUCUCUGGGCCGAUACUGACGCUGAGGAGCGAAAGCGUGGGGAGCGAACAGG
rnacentral:rRNA from 1 species